AGAGGUUCUGGAACAACCUGAGUGUCUACAAGAUUCUUGUCACUAGUAUCAGCACCAUGAAUAGUCUUCUUGAAGUCCUCGUUAUACUCGGCCUCGUAUAAAUCCACGAUCGAUUUCGUACGUUGAUUAUGCAUAGAAAAGCCAUUGGAUCUUUGGCUCUUUGCAAGAAUUUGCCCAUUCUCAAACACAAGCUCCAUAUACUCUUGAUCAGUUAACCUGCAACAACAAUAAAUCAGCUUGGUUGAUGAUGAUGAUGAUGAUGGAGAAGUCAUGUUUGUCUUGUUGAAUUAUCCAAAAGGCUUUGUCUUCGUUUGGAAGAGUAAGUGAAAACUAUCUUUCAUUUUGUUGAUCAACCUCAGAGGCUUUUAGCUCUCUUUAUAUUUCGCUUUUCUUUAUUAUUAUUAUUUUUUGUUCUCAGGUGCAA